rnacentral:rRNA from 1 species
AGAGUUUGAUCCUGGCUCAGGACGAACGCUGGCGGCGUGCCUAACACAUGCAAGUCGAACGGAGAUAUUAGAUGAAGCUUGCGAUUCUAGUAUUUUAGUGGCGGACGGGUGAGUAACGCGUGGGUAACCUGCCCAUAAGUGGGGAAUAACAGUUGGAAACGACUGCUAAUACCGCAUAAUCUGAGCGAUCAGAAAAGGUGGCCUCUUAACAAUGCUACUGCUUAUGGAUGGGCCCGCGUCUGAUUAGCUGGUUGGUGGGGUAAAGGCCUACCAAGGCGACGAUCAGUAGCCGGCCUGAGAGGGUGGACGGCCACACUGGGACUGAGACACGGCCCAGACUCCUACGGGAGGCAGCAGUGGGGAAUAUUGCGCAAUGGGGGAAACCCUGACGCAGCGACGCCGCGUGAGCGAAGAAGGCCUUCGGGUUGUAAAGCUCUGUUUUAAGGGACGAACGUUCAUGGUAGUAACUGACUAUGAAAUGACGGUACCUUAAGAGGAAGCCCCGGCUAACUACGUGCCAGCAGCCGCGGUAAGACGUAGGGGGCGAGCGUUGUCCGGAAUUACUGGGCGUAAAGAGCACGUAGGCGGGAACUUAAGUCAGGUGUGAAAGACCGGGGCUCAACUCCGGGGUGGCACUUGAAACUGGGUUUCUUGAGGGCAGGAGAGGGAAGCAGAAUUCCUGGUGUAGCGGUGAAAUGCGUAGAAAUCAGGAGGAAUACCAGUGGCGAAGGCGGCUUUCUGGACUGACCCUGACGCUGAGGUGCGAAAGCGUGGGUAGCAAACAGGAUUAGAUACCCUGGUAGUCCACGCUGUAAAC